GAGGUAUUAGUAAAAAUUACAUAACUUUGUCAAAGUUAAAUUAU
rnacentral:tRNA from 1 species